rnacentral:rRNA from 1 species
GACGAACGCUGGCGGCGUGCUUAACACAUGCAAGUCGAACGGUGACGGAGAGCUUGCUCUCCUGAUCAGUGGCGAACGGGUGAGUAACACGUGAGCAACCUGCCCCAGACUUCGGGAUAACGCUUCGAAAGAGGUGCUAAUACCGGAUACGAACUCCUUGGGCAUCCUUGGAGUUGGAAAGUUUCUCGGUCUGGGAUGGGCCCGCGGCCUAUCAACUUGUUGGUGAGGUAACGGCUCACCAAGGCGACGACGGGUAGCCGGCCUGAGAGGGCGACCGGCCACACUGGGACUGAGCCACGGCCCAGACUCCUACGGGAGGCAGCAGUGGGGAACAUUGCGCAAUGGGCGAAAGCCUGACGCAGCAACGCCGCGUGAGGGAUGACGGCCUUCGGGUUGUAAACCUCUUUCAGCAGGGAAGAAGCGAAAGUGACGGUACCCGUAGAAGAAGCCCCGGCUAACUUCGUGCCAGCCGCCGCCGUAACAC